rnacentral:rRNA from 1 species
GAUGAACGCUGGCGGCGUGCUUAACACAUGCAAGUCGAACGGGAACACAGGGGUGCUUGCCCUCUUUGGUGAGCGUGGCGCACGGGUGAGUAACACGUGUGUAACACGUCCUUUUCUUUGGGAUAAGCAUGCGAAAGGGGGUUUAAUAGCUUAUGUUCUGUAUGCGUCGCAUGGGGUGGGUGGGGAAGGCUUUGGCCGGACUUGGGUGGGCUCGCGGUCUAUCAGCUCGUUGGUGGUGUGAAGGCUAAUCAAGGCAUUGACGGGUAGCCGGCGUGAGAGGGCGGUCGAACAGAGAGGGGCUGAGGUACCGCCCGGAAGGCAGCAGUAGGCAACAUUGCGGGAUAUUGGACAGUGGGCGAGAGCCUGAUGGAGCGACGCCGCAUGGGGUAUGAAUGCUAACGGGCUGUAAUCUUGUAUGGCUCUGUACAAGGCAUGCCAGUGAGUUUUUGGCGUUACCGGGUGAAUAAGCGCCGGCUAACUACGUG